AGGUUGAACGCUGGCGGCAUGCCUUACACAUGCAAGUCGAACGGCAGCACGGGAGCAAUCCUGGUGGCGAGUGGCGAACGGGUGAGUAAUAUAUCGGAACGUGCCCAGUCGUGGGGAUAACGCAGCGAAAGCUGUGCUAAUACCGCAUACGAUCUAUGGAUGAAAGCGGGGGAUCGCAAGACCUCGCGCGAUUGGAGCGGCCGAUAUCAGAUUAGCUAGUUGGUGGGUAAAGCCUACCAAGGCGACGAUCUGUAGCUGGGUCUGAGAGGACGACCAGCCACACGUGGAACUGAGACACGGUCCAGACUCCUACGGGAGCGAGCGAGGUGGGGUAAUUUGGACAAGUGGGCGACGAAGCCGUGAUCCAGCCAAGUCGCCGCGUCGACGAGGAUAGGAACGGUCCGUUACGGGUUA
rnacentral:rRNA from 1 species